CUGCACCUGCCCACACACUGAGACAAACAGCCCAAAUAAAUUCAGGGGUUUGUUGUGCGGCCAAGCAACAAAGGCUUAGAAAAACCUGGGGAAAAAAAGGCUUGUAAACAUCAGCUGACCAAAUCAGAUUCAGUUGAUUCUGCUGAGCAGGUGGAUAGAUACCAGAACCUUCCUGUUUUUAUUCAUGAGCACUUUUUAAGCUCACAUCAGGCCUCCUGAACAGUCCCCUUCAUCCAAACACAUGCCGCUCUUUAAUGCACAUGUGCACAAACAAACCACCGCCAUUAUUCAGGCAGACAAGCGUGGCCAUUUCCAUGAGAAUGGCGGGUGUUGUGGAGUCGGAGCGCAGCGGCCUCGGCAUCUGCCGCACCAUGUGGCCUCGACUCAAAGACGAGGGCAUCACGAGUCAGACGGGCGGAAGAGGAGGGAUGCUCACACACAAAGUCAACAGUUGUGAGAAGUUUGUUUACUCCUUGGAGGGUUUUACUGGCCAUAACUUACACGAAGGGACACUUCUGCACUGCGCAGCAGCCAAGCUUGAUAGCAGAUGCACAAAGAAGUCGUAAAACUUGGGCUUCAUGAGAAGAGAAAAGCAGCAGUAGCAGUUCCAGCAGCUGCAGCCUUCCUGAGGAAAACAAACCCAGGAUGCUGAGGAGCAGAAGACAAGCCUGUGAUUUACACAUGGCUUCCAGGUGCCGGCCCGGGCGAGUCCGCCGGUCCGGCGCGAACAAACCCUCAACGCUUCACUGCUGGUUCAGAGCGAAGCCGCCGGCUGGGUGGUAGAUGGAGCAGCCUAUCAGUCUGGGAAGUGAAGCGCAGCCACUGAUUGCUCCUGCACCAUUUCCUGAGCUCAUUUAUGACACUGAUGGGCGCUGUUACAGCAACAACGUUUAAAGUGGGGAAACGCCAGCAGCUGCUGCAGCGAGCGAGAAAAAUCACAGCUUCCAUCCAACAAUCUGUCACCUGGCAUCAUCAGUUCCCAGCAGGAUCAUUAACCCCAAACAGACGACGCAGAGAGGCGCAGCAGACGCAACCAGCUCAGGUCGGGACGUCAAACAUCAGAAACUUCUCAGUUUCUGUGAAAUAAAAUAAACUGAAACCAGAAGAAAAUGUUUUGUUUUUCUGAAACCUGUGGCUCCACAGAUCAAUGUGGGCCCUCCAAAGCCAAUUCAUUAGCAAAUAUAUAAAGUUUUCCAUGUAUUUUUAUGAAAUAUCUGCACAUUCUCACAACACAAAGUUCCUCGUUACACAACAAACCAUCAUUUUGAUUUCAACACAGAAAUGAAGCCAUGAUUAUUUCACUGUCAAAUAAAAAAAUACUACAAACUUUCAAAGCUUCAUUCUUUAAAUUAUUUUCAAUAAAAUGCCAGAGAAAGAGCCAGAAUGACAAGAUUUUUCUCCAGGUGUAUUGAAGAAUGAAGCAAUACAGCGCUGCCCCUCCCCCACCUGCUGCUAAGCACUGGCUGGGAAAAAGUCUACUGAGGCAAAUUCUGGAAAUUGGAAAGUUUUCCAGUUGCAAAAACAAAGAAAUGGAA